rnacentral:lncRNA from 1 species
UUAAAUCGAAAUUAAACCCGAGAUAGUUGUAUUUCCAUACUAAAUUCAACAUAAAACACCCACUAGUAAAUUUUAUGGCUUUGAAUAGUUAAACCUAACCCCAACAAAUAUAGUCACCACACACCUCGUCACUUCUGAUGUCAUGUUUACAUUUAGGUUUCUCGUGCUCAGGGAACAGUCCCCUUGUGGCACUAGUGAAAUCUAUACAUAUCUUGAUACCUAAAAUCAAUCAUUUUCAUUUCGUGAAAUCUUCAAGACUGCGAACUGGGAUUAUUGUCCAGAAGAAAUUCUUGGAUGCUCCUCUUGUAAUGUUCCCAAUCAACGUCGCCCAUGCUGUGGGAGAUUGACCCAUUGUUGGAGAUUUAUAUUAGUUCCCAAGUCUCAGAAAAAUACAGAGCCAUCUACAACUUUAAUCUCUCAAACAGGACAGAUGCACAGUCAACAAUAGAUAUUAUUCUCAUUUCCCCAUAAAAUCAACCUGCAAAGGCUGACCAAGUAUUUAAGAACAGGAACUACAAGAACUAGUAUGCGCACACACACCAAAAAAAAAAAGUCUAACACCAACACAUCUUGUUACCCAGGAAAUUGGUAAAACCUAAAUAUGGCCAGACAGCCAAGUUAUAACAACUCAGCUGAUGUGUUAUCAACCUUUGAGUAACAAGAUUGGUAUCACAUCAUUCACUUAAGGUGAAGUGAAAAACAAUAAAAAGAAGACUAAUGCACCUUGAUAGAUAUUCCAUACCACUGUGUCAGACAUUAUCACGAGUAUCCUUCCACAAGCAUUCCUCAAAAACAGCGGCAAUGUCCAAUUCAUUGAAAAACAAGCAUAAGAAAUCCUUGUGCGCACCUAACUGGAAGGAAGGAAGGAACAAAAGACAGUUAAAAUAGGGGAGGGGGAGAAAGAGAGAGAGAGAUAUGGGGAGAGAGAGAGAGAGAGAGAGAGAUUAAUAAAUAUCAAUAUUAAGUAAGGUCUCAUCAUGAACAAGACUAAAACAUCACGUUAACAAGCAAGCAAACCUAUUAAAGAGGGCUAUAUACUUCAAUCUUCAUUUAGAGCAAUAAUGUUUUAAAAGAUCAAGACAGCCUUAGGAAAUUUAAAAACAACAAAUAGAACACAUAAGAUUAAACAACAGAGAUCAUCCCCACAUAUAACAUUAUCUAAAAUUAUCUGAGGCAAGGUUGAGUACAAUAAGUAGCAGAUCAUUUCAAGUACGGUAGAUGAUUCAACAAUAUGACAUUAAAAUAGCAUAUACUUAUAUGCAAAAGAUAUAUGAAAUUACUAUACAGUUUUAUGGUUAAUACACAGUACAAAACAAACUUUCAUUUAUCUAAAAAAAAAAAAUUUUAAAAAAGGAAGAAGAAUAAUUGGUGGAUUGAAGUUUCAUUUAAGAGGGAAAAAAAUUGUGUUUGAUCUUAUGUACAAUUGGAAGGAGGUAAAACGUAUCUGAAAUGUUGGGAAUGUAGGAAACAAAUAUAUACAUUUCUAAUUAAUAAACACAGUACAAUACAAUACUUAUCCAAAACCAAAAAGAAAUAUCAACGAAUUGAAAGUUUAUAUAUUUAGUCCUAUAUACGACUGAAAGAAGAAAGUUCAACGUGUCUGGUGUGUUGGGAAUAUUUGAAUAUUUGCGCUAGUGGAAAGACAACCAUAUUAUCUACGGCCCAGUGUCACCUGCUUAGAAUUUCCUAAGCCAAUCGUGCGACCUUAGACAACCAACACUGCCUGAGUGUUGCUAAGUAAGCCUUGCUUGCCAAAAGAACACCAAGAGAACUGAAGCACACCAAGAAGAACAAGAGAAUACUUGUAAGUAAAGAAGCUUUGUAUUCACAAGAGAGCUUUUACAAGAGAACUAGAGAAUGCUUGAGUUCUUGGAUGGUUUAACAAAAUGAAGGCCUCCCUAUUUAUACUAGCCCACCUCCUCAAUGGACAGUAGAGAUCAUUUUUAUCCUACGGUUACAAGUGUACAUCUAGAAAGAUCUACACAAGAUUCUAGAUAAGCUUCUACAUCUUUUACUACAUUCAAGAGUAUUCUAUAAUAGUAAAGAAUACAAGAGGAAAGUGUGUAACAUUUUAGAGGUUCCUCUAUGUAAGCAUCCUAAUAAGCGGCUAUAUAAGCAUCCAGUAAGCGCCAAGUAAGAAUCCUACGUGCAGUAACCUCGAGAUAAUCAACCCUUUUCAAGUGGGUUGUGACACCAAGUUGAAGUUCUAGGUUGGGAAUCACAUGGUUAUUUCCUCACUGAAGACCUGUUAGGAGUACACUAAAAAUUUAGUAACUUUCAGUUCUUGACUUUUAGUUCAGAAAAUCAUGUUUCUUUAAGUAGCUGUACACAGCAAAGGAGCUGCCACUCAAUCACUUCAAUACGGAAAAUGUGACAUUCUUUGUAGAAGUAAGAACAAAGAAGCAAGUUUGAUGUUGUUAUAAAUAUGUUGAGCAUUUGCUCAUACUAACAGCUAAUGGUUUUGAAUGUGCUAGACAUACCUUUACAUCCUACUGUAGCUUUUCUUCAAUCCAACUAUUUAUUAUCUCAAUCUCUUGCAGUUGCGUCAUUGAUUAGAGUGUGAAGUGGAAUUUCACUAGACAAGAGACAAAACUAAUGUACUUCCUCAUCAUAACACAUGCAACAUAUUAAAUAAGUCAACACUAUAUAAAAUAGAAAAUCUAAUGUGCCACAACCUUGAGCUUCGUAUUUUAUCAUCAAACUAUAAGUGUUGUAACUAAAAGCACUCCGACAGGAAUAACUUAAAUAUUCAUUCGAGAGCAACGGAUCUUGAUUUUCAAUUAAGCACCAGUAAAGGCAGUAGUCAGUUUUAGGUCAUAGAGUGUAAUUUCAAAAAAUGUUACACUUGCUUGAUAUCCAGAAGGAUACCAAAAUUACUACUAAGGAACUAACCAAGUCUAAGGGUAAAAAAAAACAUACACACUCAUAACUAUCAGUUUCAAUUACUUCCAUAGCAAAAUCAGUAAAUAAUAAUAAUAUACCUUUCAAGUUUCAAUCACAGAAACGUUCUACAAUAGAACUCGACCAUGCUUCGUGUCUCCUUGCCUUAUCAAAAGACAGAAAAUAAAGCAGCGGAGAAAGGGGAGAGGAGAGAGAAAAAAUGAAUCCUCAAACCUUAACCUCAAACAUAAUCAUCAUAGGAAGCAUAAUGAAGCAAAAAGGAAACCACAAAUACCAUACAUGACCAGGAAAUGUUUGCUGGAGUAACCACUUAGUUUCAUCCUUGCACUACAUUUGAAAAGAGUAGCAUAAGUCAAGGAUUUGCAGCCUACAUACCAUAGUUUCAGUAAAUAUUCAAUCAUCCUAAUUAAGUUAUAGAACUUUGAUAAAAGAUGAAAUAUGAAACCAGUCAGAUUGGAUAUCCAAUAGCUAGCAGAGAAGUAUUAAGUAUUAUUCUGCAAGUUGUAUUAUACCUGAUUCCCCUUUUCUGCAGGUAGCAAUUUUCCAGGAGAAAAGAGUGGCUUCUAAAGCGUGCAUUCCAAGAAAAGCAGGACUUAUAGAUAGCGC